CUGCAACCAAUUAAGCCGAUUGAGUUCCUUUCCUCAUGGGGACCUAGUACAGCAAGCUCCUUGGGAGUAUAAGCAGCCUGAUGCUUGUAUGGAUUGCUGUCAGGGACCGUGGAAACAAUC
ensembl:snoRNA SNORA70 Small nucleolar RNA SNORA70